rnacentral:tRNA from 1 species
UGACUGGUAGAUCAGUGGUAUGAUCGCCGCCUUGGUAAAGCGGAAGUCGCGGGUUCAAAUCCCGCCCAGUCCA